ACGGAAGGCAGCAGUCGGGAAUAUUGCGCGAUGGAGGAAACUCUGACGCAGUGACGCCGCGUGCAGGAAGAAGGUUUUCGGAUUGUAAACUGCUUUAGACAGGGAAGAUACAAGACAGUACCUGUAGAAUAAGCUCCGGCUAACUACGUGCCAGCAGCCGCGGUAAUACGUAGGGAGCAAGCGUUAUCCGGAUUUAUUGGGUGUAAAGGGUGCGUAGACGGAGAAGCAAGUUGGUUGCGAAAUCCCUCGGCUCAACUGAGGAACUGCAACCAAAACUACUUCCCUUGAGUGUUGGAGAGGAAAGUGGAAUUCCUAGUGUAGCGGUGAAAUGCGUAGAUAUUAGGAGGAACACCAGUGGCAAAGGCGACUUUCUGGACAAUAACUGACGUUGAGGCACGAAAGUGUGGGGAGCAAACAGGAUUAGAUACCCUGGUA
rnacentral:rRNA from 1 species